CCCUCUCUACACACAGGCAUCAUCCCGACGUUAACAGCUCACGGCGGACCCUGCUGUGUCUCUGCCUAGCACUGCUCAGACUCCCUUUCCCUCGGAGAGAAGGUCCGAGCUCACAGUCAAGGUCACCUAUGACCUGGCCCACCUGCCUCUCUCCCCACUCCGGAUCCCUCCACCCCUGAGAAACUUCACGCUGCUGGAAAACUGGCUAUAACUGGACAGUGGGGGAUCCUGGCAGACACCACCUCAACCAGUGCUCAAGCUCCGGUGUAAUCAUGACGAAGCCACAGACAUCCUGCAGAGGAACUGGCCGGUGCUCUUCAAAAGGGCCAAGGUCAUGAAAGACAAGGCAUGCCGGAAGAGCUGUCCCAGACCGGGGGACCCUGGAAGACAAGAUGACCAAAUGCGAUAUGGAGCCUGGACUGGACGUUAGUGGGUCCCAAUGUCUCCUGCUGCUCAAGACUCCUGACAUUAGAAAUGAUUGAAUGGCCACCCCAGCUCUCUGCACCUGGACCAACGACCAAUGGCCAGGGAGGCAGUGAAGAAGCACAGAUGGAGAAGCUGAGGGUCCUCCCGGAGAAGGGGGGUCCCAGCUGUCAAUUCUAACACAAGGGUCUCAUGCUGUGCUAGUCCCCGCUGCCCUACCACCUAGAGGUGUAAGCUUGUCAUGCCACUUUGUGAGCAUGUCUCUGAGGGAAUGUGCUGAGGAAUCUGAGGUGCUAGGCUGCACCACCAGCACACCCCGGGACCCGACCUCCAGGCUCUUCUAGGACUGGAAGCUGCCAGCCCAGGGAGCACAGCAGAACAGUGGAAAGCAUGGGUUCUGGAUGGACUCUCCACUUCUCCACACACCUGCUGUGUAAACUAGGCAUCAUUUCACCUCUCUGAACCCAGUUUCCUCAUCUGUACCUCUCGGUUCCUGCUUCACAGGGUGUGGUGGGAAUUAGACUUAGCCAGCAGUAAAGCAGCGGGCAAUCUGUCAGGAUCAGAGGAGCUGCUCCCAUUUCCCAGUGAGGGAAGAGGCGCAGAGUGAUGCCGGGCUCCUGACUCCUCCCCUUCGGAGGCCCUGCCUUCCUGCAGCCUCCAGCUCCCCUCCCCCAUAUCGUGUUCUUCUCCGUCCCUAGGGAAGGGGCAUCUCCUUUGCUGGUGAGGGCAGGGAACCCACCCACCAAGCUCUGCCUUCGCACUCCCCA